CGGGGCGUAGCGCAGCUUGGUAGCGCGCACGGUUCGGGACCGUGAGGUCGGAGGUUCAAAUCCUCUCGCCCCGACUA
rnacentral:tRNA from 1 species